UAAAAUUAUGUAAGAUAUUUAAGAAAUGAUUUGCCUACUUAAGCGCUCUGUUAUAUGUAAUGCAUGGACUUAUUAAGGCCUGUUUUUCUUUUUUCUACCUACCGCUGAGUAUCGAGACAUGAGAGAUGAGAGGUUAUCUUAUCACAAGCAUUCAGAGCUACAUAACGACUGAUGUUAUGAGUUGAUACGUUUUUUAUUGAGAUAAAAGAUCAGUAGUUUCCACUUUUCUUUUAAAUUUGCAAAUACUUCUCAUUACAAUUAUACGUAUUUACAACUUAUACAAAUCGCGUCUAGUAACCGAGUUAGUGUGACAUAAAUCAGGUGAUGAUCCCAAAAUCAUCAAAAAAAGCUUAUUUUAUUAAGCUGUUAGUUGGUUCUGCUCUAGCUAUUCAUUUGAGUAUAUUUGUAAUUAAGCCUUGGGUAACGUCUCAGAAGAGUAAAGAUUCUAGCGACCAUCGUGGAGAUCUAAAAACGAAACCAUAACACGUAACUAUUUUUGACAUAACCUCAAUUGGUGCUAGUGAUGUGCUAUUGUUAUAUAUCAUAGUAUGAAAAUUAGAAAACCGAAAAACUUAACGGGUGCUCAGUUAGGUUUUGCUACAAUUUUAGGAGUUUUAGUUGGUAUUUACGUUUGGAGACCAUCAAUUAUCGACUACCACGAAGAGAAAAAAUCAGGUGAAUUCGCUCAGAAAUAAGAACCACGAUGGGAUGGUAUCAGCGGUGGGCAUCAAAACAGAGGGGAAAAUCUUCUCUUCUAGUUAUUGCAGGCGUUAGCGGCUUGGUGUGUUUCUGGAUUGGAUACAGGCACUACUUUAUACCUUGGCGCACAAGAAAAGCAUUACGCCAAGCUGAAGAAUAUGCCAACAUUUUAAAUAAGCUUGAACGAUAAUUGUAUUGUUUUUCUAAUUAUGUUAGUUUGCUUGUAAAUAAAAACAAGUAUCAA